rnacentral:rRNA from 1 species
CCUACGGGAGGCUGCAGUGGGGAAUUUUGGACAAUGGGGGCAACCCUGAUCCAGCCAUGCCGCGUGAGUGAAGAAGGCCUUCGGGUUGUAAAGCUCUUUCAGGAACAGUCCGGUACCGGAAGAAGAAGCACCGGCUAACUACGUGCCAGCAGCCGCGGUAAUACGUAGGGUGCGAGCGUUAAUCGGAAUUACUGGGCGUAAAGCGUGCGCAGGCGGUUUUGUAAGUCAGAUGUGAAAUCCCCGGGCUUAACCUGGGAACUGCGUUUGAAACUACAAGGCUAGAGUGUGGCAGAGGGGGGUGGAAUUCCACGUGUAGCAGUGAAAUGCGUAGAGAUGUGGAGGAACACCGAUGGCGAAGGCAGCCCCCUGGGUUAAACUGACGCUCAGGCACGAAAGCGUGGGGAGCAAACAGGAUUAGAUACCCUUGUAGUC